GUUGAGUUGAGUUAUUGUGGAUAAGUAUCACAGGUUAAUUCUCACACAUUGUACCAAACACACCUCCUCAAUACAAUUAGCAGUAGGAAUAGGACACACCUAAAUAAGGGUUUCAAAAGUAAAGAGAACUCCUAACUCUACAAUCAAACUUUUAAGUAUCAAAUUACAUUUUUAUUCAAUGCAUUGUAACACAUGAAUAAUAAAUCUUUUCAGAUGUUAUAUUAUUAACAUUACUAUGAAGUUGUGGGAGAGAGU
rnacentral:misc_RNA from 1 species